rnacentral:lncRNA from 1 species
ACCCUCAGACUGUCUUAUAAUAAGAUAGUCAUAAUAGUCUAGUGCUAAGGCCUAAAAGCCCUUUCCUAACCCUAAUCGAUGUAUACGAUAAAAACUAAUCUCAGAAGAUGAGUGAAUUAGGAAGCAACACUGUCACGACCCCAAACCAUCCCGGCCGUGAUGGCGCCUAUCGCAGUACUAGGCUAGCCGAUUUGACAUUUAUAACACAAAAGGAAUCUUUUUCUAAAUUCAUUUACUAAUAAGAUAUUAUAACAAAUCUUCCUUUUAAACAUUUCAAAACAGGCGAAAACAAAUAUACAAAACAUCAACCACUGCCCGAUCCCGGUGUCACUAGUCAUGAGCCACUAAAAUACAAUCUGGUACUAUCUACUUAAUACAAGAUGAGUCUGAUAAAAACAAAUACUAAUAGAUAGGAAGGAGAAGGCAAGGUUGCGGACGCCGUGCAGCUACCUUGCUAACUCCGGAAAUGCUUUAAAGGAAGGAACAACUCUCACUCGGAUGCCCUGGCACCUGGAUCUGCACAGAAGGUGCAGGGAGUGACAUGAGUACGCCAACUCAGUAAGUAACAAUUAUAAAUAAAGGCUGAUUGCAGUGACGAGCAUUUAAAAAUCAUAUACAUUUUUAUAACAUAAAACCUCAAUGGAAAUAACAAGAUCAAUCAAUAUUUAAAAUUCGAACAUCUCGUAAAAAUUCCAGUUUCAAUGAAAAUUAUUUAAAAUAUUUGUUCAAUAUUUUCAAUAAAAGCUCAGUAUGAAAGAAGAGUGAAAACAAUAAUUUCAUAAAAUAAGCCCUUCGGGCAAAGUAUUACUAAUAUAUAUAGCCCCUCGGGCAAGCCUCUCAGUCACUAUUGACUCAACUCCCCUCAAUCGACACUCACACUCAGCACUCGCUCAAUAGGUACCUUAUAAUAACCGUUGCGGCGUGUAGCCCGAUCCAUAAAUAUAUAGUUGACUGCGCUCACUGGGGGUGUGCAGACUCCGGAAGGGUUCCUACAGCCCAAGCGCUAUAUCGCUGCGGAGUGCAACCCGAUCUAACAUAUCGCUACGGCGCGCAGCCUUAUCCCUAUCUAUCCUCACAAUCCAGCCUCACUGACUCAUCAACCUCACAAGGCACUCGGGCAUUUCAGUACAAACUCAGGGAACUCGGCCCAAAACACUUUCAUAUAUUAAAAUAGAGUGAUGAACAAGAUUAAACAAUAAAUAGGUGUAAACCAAGACUGAGGAUAAUGCUUUCUAUCAAAAUAAUGUGAGGAUAAUAGUAAAAUACCCCUGAGGGUCUAAACAAUACGGCACAAGGCCCCAAACAUGACAUUCAGCCCAAGUUAACAGAAUCAUCUCUAAAACACAUAGAUAUCAUAUAGAGUUUAUCAAAAUAUGCAACUCUACAGUUGCCACGGGAUGAACCAAGUCACAAUCCCUACGGGUGCACGCCCACACGCUCGUCACCUCAUUUAUCAAAAUAGUAUGAAAUUUCGGGGUUUCAUACCCUCGGGUCUAUAUUUACAAUUAUUACUUACCUCAAACCAGCUGAAAAUCUACUCCGCGAUGCCCUUGCCUCUCGACUCGGCCUCCGAAUGCUCCAAAUCUAACUAAAUCAGUAUUACAUUAUUAAUACACGCUAAAGGAACAAAGACCAUGCGAAAAUUAUCAAAUUAACUCAAAAAUCCUGAAAUUGGCCAAACCCGACCCCAGGCCCAUAUCUCAAAAUCCGACAAAAGUCACAACACUAGAAACUCCUUUCACUCCCGAGUCUAUACAAACCAAAAUCAUCAAAAUCGAACCUGUAAUGGCCCAUCAAAUCCCCAAUUUAAACUCUCCAAUUUCAAGUCCUAAUCUCCCAAUUUCUUCUCAAAUUUUUCCCACUAAUAUAAUGAUUAAACAAUGGAAUAAUCGCCAUAAAUACAAGAUACAAGGCCCAAGUAGCUUACCUCUCUGAAAACACUUGAUUCCCUCUUGAAAUCACAGGCCCCAAGCUCCAACUCGUCCAAAAAUGGUGAAGAAAUGGCAGAAAUUUGCAAAGAGGGUCUUUUAUGCUUUCUGCCCACUAUUUCCGCAUCUGCGGACAAUAUCUCGCACCUGCGGCCUGCUUCUGCACCCAAAAAUUCGCACCUGCGAAAAUCACUUAAGCUCUUAGACGUCGCACCUGCGGCUCGCAAAUGCGGUACAACCAUCCGCUCCUGCGAACAAUGCCGCUUUUGCGGUCUCUAAUCCGCUUCUGCGGCUCGCACCUGCGGUCCCCAAUCCACAUGUGCGAUUAUGAUAGAAAACAACAGCUUCAGGUGCAACUCCAAUUUCUCCAACUCUCCAAUAACCCUUCGAAAUCAUCUCGAGACCCUCGGGACCUCAACCAAACCUACCAACAAGUCACCUAUCACCAUUAAAACUUAUUCCAAUCUUCAGAACCCUCGAAACAACAUCAAGACACCAAAUCACCCUCGGAUUCAUGCCUAAGGAUUUUUAAACUUCCGAUUUCUACAACGAUGCAAAAACCUAUCAAACCUCAUCCGAAUGACCUGAAAUUUUGCACACAUAUAACAAAUAACACAACAGACCUACUCCAAUUUCUGGAAUUCCUUUCCGACCUCGAUAUCAAGAUUUCCACUGGCGACCGGAAAACUCCAAAUUUUUCAUUUCGCCAAUUCAAACCUAAUUAUACCAUGGACCUCCAAAUUACAUUCCGAACACGCUCCUAAGUCCAAAAUUACCUGACGGAGCUAUCCGAACCAUCAAAUUCACAUCCGAGACCUUUUACUCAUAAGUCAAUAUCCGGUUGACUUUUUCAACUUAAGCUUCUACAUAAGAGACUAAGUGUCUCCUUCCACUCCUCGACCACUCCGAACCUGAUCCAACCAACACGAUAUGACUAAAUACAGCUGAACAGUACAUAAAGAAGUAGAAAUGAGGGAAACGGGGUAGUAACUCAUGAAACGACCGGCCGGGUUGUUACAUCCUCCCCCUCUUAAACAAACGUUCGUGCUUGAACGAGUCAAGAAACAUACCUGAAGCCUCAAACAGGUGUGGAUAUCUGUUUCACAUCUCCCGUUUGGUCUCCCAAGUAGUCUCCUCCACGGGUCGACCUCUCCACUACACUUUCACUGAAGCUAUAUCCUUUGAUCUCAACUUUCGGACCUGCCGUUCCAAAAUAGCCAUUGGCUCCACAUCAUAAGUCAAAUCAUCGUCUGAUUGAACCAUGCUGAAAUCCAAAACAUGAGACAGAUUGCCAAUAUACUUCCGGAGCAUAGAAACAUGAAAUACCAAAUGCAUACUCGACAAGCUUGGUGGCAAGUCUAGCUCAUAAGCCACUUCCCCAAUCCUCCAAACACCUCAAAAGGCCCAAUGAACCGAGGACUCAAUUUACCCUUCUUACCAAAUCUCAUAACACCCUUCAUGGGUGACACCUUUAGUGGAACAUUCUACUCAACCGUGUAAGAUACAUCACGAACCUUCUUGUCAGCAUAACUCUUUUGUCUCGACUGCGCUGUACGAAGCCACUCCCGAAUCACUUUUACCUUGUCCAAAGCAUCCUACACCAAGUCUGUACCCAAAAGUCUGGCCUCUCCCGGCUCAAACCAUCCUAUUGGAUAUCUACACCGUCUCCCAUAUAAAGCCUCAUAUAGAGCCAUCUGAAUACUCGACUAAUAACUGUUGUUAUAUGCAAACUCUGCGAGCGGUAGAAACUAAUCCCAUGAACCCCCAAAAUCAAUGACACAAGCGUGCAGCAUGUCCUCCAAUAUCUGAAUAGUGCCCUCGGACUGGCCUUCCGCCUGAGGGUGAAAAGUUGUGCUCAACUCAACCUGAGUACCCAACUCUCGCUACAUAGCCCUCAAAAACUGUAAUGUAAAUUGAGUACCUCUAUCUGAAAUGAUAGAAACUAGGACACCAUGCAGGUGAACAAUCUCUAGGAUAUAAAUCUCAGCUAACCACUCUGAAGAAUAGGUAGUACACAUAUGAAUCAAGUGUGCGGACUUGGUUAGCCGAUCCACAAUCACCCAAAUAGCAUCGAACUUCCUUAAAGUUCAUGGGAGUCCAACUACAAAAUCUAUGGUGAUUUUCUCCCACUUCCACUCUGGAAUAUCCAUCUAUUGAAGUAAGCCUCCCGGUCUCUGAUGCUCGUAUUUCACCUGCUGACAAUUGAGACACUGAGCUACAAAUCCCACUAUAUCUUUCUUUAUCCUCCUCCAUUAGCAGUGUUGUCUCAAAUCCUAAUAUAUCUUCACAGCACCCAGAUGGAUGCGAGCUAUGGGCCUCCUCCAGAAUCACCUCCCGAAGCCCAUCUACGUUGGGCACACAUAGGGGUGUCAAUAGUUCGGUUCGGCCGGUUAUUUUAUAAUAUUUGUACCAUACUAAUUUUUCGGUUAUUCUAUUAUGUGUAACAAAAAUUAGACUUUUCGAAACCGUCUCAAUCAUGUUGGUGGUAUGGUUCGAUUAAGUUUUGGUAUUUUUUUAAAUAUCAUGUAAAAUUCACCAGUAAAAGUGGAAUGCAAUAACAUACAUUCUUUUAUAGGAUAGCAAAACUCUCUACACAUUUUUACUAUUUAAAGGGUGAUGAAUUAAAGAAAUAUGAACGAUGGCUAGAGUAUAGAUCUAUCAACUAUUUGACAACAACGUAAAAGAAACCAAGAAAAUAUAAAUGAUAUUAACCAAGAUGGGACUCAAGAAUAAAAUCUAUAUUAAAUAUUCAAAAAGAUCAAUCUAAAUUAAAUGAAAGGAAACAUAUUCAAUAUAUUGUAAUUUGCUACUUAUAAUCACUAGAAUACUUUGUAUUUUGCUAAUAAAGAUAUUUGAAAUAACUUAGUUUAAGAAUAAGUAGCAUAAUAGGUUUUAGGAAUUAGUAUUUUGAGUUUAAUUACUUGUUGGAUUGUAACAGUUUUCAUAAUUCCAAGGCCUAAUAAAAAUUUUAAUGCUUUAUUAGUUUUAAACUUACUAUAUAAAUAUAUUUUUCACAUGUAGAAUUAUUCGGUACGGUUCGGUAUUUUUUCGGUUUAUUUAUAUAAAAUAGAAAAUCUACCUUAAUUAUCAGUACGGUUGUAGAUUUAUAUAAAAACCUACGAUUUCUUUAAAAGAAACUUAAAAAUUGGUUUGGUGCGGUACGGUUCGGUUGGUUUUCAAAUAUCCAUUGACACCCCUAGGCACACAUAGCCUGCCCUGCAUCCUCAAUGCUCCAUCAUCACCAAUAGUCACAUCUCUGGCAUCGUCGUGCUGAACUGUGUCCUUGAGGACAAGCAAAUGAGGAUCAUCAUACUGUCGCUCUCUGAUGCGAUCAAACAAGGAAGACUGAGAAACCACACAAGCUAAGAUCUGAUUGGGCUCUGAAAUAUCCAACCUCACAAACCGAUUGUCCAAGGCCUGAACAUCAACUGCAAGAGGUUUCUCCCCAACAGGAAUAUACGCCAAACUGCCCAUACUCACCGCCUUCCUACUCAAGGCAUCUGCCACUAUAUUGGACUUCCCCGGAUGGUACAAGAUAGUAAUAUCAUAAUCCUUUAGAAGCUCCAAUUAUCUUCGCUGCCUCAAAUUGAGAUCCUUCUACUUGAACAAGUGCUGAAGGCUACGAAAAUCAGUUAACACCUCACAAGACACUCCAUAGAGAUAAUGCCUCUAAAUCUUCAACGCGUGAACAAUGGCAACCAACUCCAAAUCAUAAACAGGGUAGUUCUUCUCACGGGGCUUCAACUGACGAGAAGCAUAAGCAAUCACUCUACCCUCCUGCAUCAACACACAUCUGAUACCAACUCUAGAAGCAAUGCAAUACACCGUAUAUGAACCUGAAGCUUAUGGCAAAACUAACACUGGAGUUGUGGUCAAGGCAGUCUUGAGCUUCUGAAAGAUCGCAUCACACUCAUCCGACCACCUGAAAGGAGUACCCUUUUGAGUCAAUUUGGUCAAGGGUGAUGCAAUAAAUGAAAAUCCCUGAACGAACUGAUGGUAAUAACCCGCCAAACCAAGAAAGCUACGAAUUUUUAUGGCUGAGGACGGUCUGGUCCAACUCUGAACCGCCUCUAUCUUCUUUGGAUCAACCUGAACACCCUCACUGGACACCACGUGCCCCAAGAAGGCCACUGAACUGAGCCAAAACUCACACUUGGAGAACUUUGCAUAAAAUUUCUCCUCCCUCAGCCUUUGCAAUACAACUCUAAAUGCUUGGCGUGCUCCUCCUGACUACGCGAGUAUACCAGAAUAUCAUCAAUGAAUACAAUAACAAACAAGUCGAGAUAAGGUCGAAACAUGUUGUUCAUCAAAUGCAUGAACACUGCUAGGGCAUUGGUCAGCCCAAAAGACAUUACAAGGAACUCAUAAUUACCAUAUCGGGUCCUGAAAACCCUUUUAAGAAUAUCCAAAUUCCUGAUCUUCAACUGGUGAUACCUUGACUGGAGAUCAAUCUUGGAGAACACCCUCGCUCCCUGAAGCUGAUAAAACAAAUCAUUAAUACGAGGCAAAGGAUACUUGUUCUUGAUUAUGACUUUGUUCAACUGCCUGUAAUCAGUGCAGAUCCUCAUCAUGCCAUCCUUCUUCUUCACAAAUAGAAUAGGCGCACCCCAAGACAACAUGCUAUAUGGUGGAAUAGAAAUGGGCUAAGUGCGCAGCACCAAAUCAAUACCAAAGUCAAUAUCUCUGUCCGAUGGUAUGCCCGACUGGUCUACAAGAAAUACAUACAAAAAGUCCCUCACUACCGGGACUGAAUCAAUAGUAAGAGUCUCUGCACUAACAUCCCUCAAGAAGGCCAAAUAAGAAAGACAACCCUUCCCAACCAUCCGUUGGGCCUUCAAAAACGAAAUCACUCUACUGGGAACAUAAUCCGUCGAACCUCGCCACUCAAUCCGUGGCACACCCGACAUGCCCAACGUCAUUGUCUUAGCAUGACAGUCCAAAAUAGCAUGACACAGAAAUAACCAAUUCAUGCCAAAUAUCACAUCAAAAUCAACCAUACAAAGCAACUCUAGGUCCACUUGGGUCUCCAAACCCCCAAUAGCCACCACACACAAUCAAUAUACGUGAUCCAUAACAAUGGUAUCGCCCACCGGAGUAGAUACACGAAUAGAUGAAACAAGAGACUCACGGGGCAUAUCCAAAUAACGAGCAAAACAUGAUGACACAUAUGAAAAGGUAGAACCAGGAUCAAAUAAUACAGAGGCAUCUUUGCCGUGUUGUGAGAACCAUGGCCCGAUGAUGCCCCACGAUGAAUUGGGCGAGCUGACUGAACAUGUUUGAAUGGACGACAUAUGCCGUGUUGAAACUGACCUCUCAAAGGAACACAACCAAAACUACCAAAUCCUCGAGACCUCGUGGCCUCCCUCUCAUCUCGCUCCUCGCGAAAAACUGACUCAAUCUCUCGCGCAAUAUUAAUAACUUGCUCAAAAGUAGCACCUGGCACCCUAUCUCUAGUCAUAAGAAUCUGAAGCUGAUAUGUGAGGCCAUCCACGAACCUCCUGAUCCUCUCUCUAUCCGUAGGAACCAACUAAACAGCAUGAUAAGCUAGCUCUGAAAAUCUCAUCUCAUACUGCAUCACAGUCAUAUCAUUCUGACGCAACUGCUCGAACUGCCUACGCAGCUCCUCCCUGUGAGACUGUGGCACAUACUUCUCCAAAAAGAGAGCGGAGAACUGCUGCCAGGUAAGGGGCGCUGCCCCAACAGGCCUAUGCCUCUCAUAAACCUCCCACCAAGUAAAGGCAACCCCCGAAAACUGGAAGGUAGUGAACGAGACCCUACUGGUCUCCAAAAUACUUGCGGUCCGAAGCAUCCUCUAACACUUGUCCAAGAAACCCUGGGAAUCCUCGCCCUCUACACCACUGAAAGUCGGAGGCUGAAGUCUACAAAACCUCUCCAAUCUAUGCUGCUCGUCAUCAGGCAUGACUGGAACCACAUAAUCCUGAGCAGGUGCAACCGGCUGGGCUGGAGGUGUCUCCGGUGUCUGAAGUCCCUACACAACCUGCUCAGGUCUGCGAGCGGCGGGAGUCUGGGUGCCUCCCCCGGCCUAAGAAGUAGCUGCGACCGUAGUAACUUAGACCGCCUGAGCCAGGCUAGUGCACACUGAUAGAAUCUAGGCUAGGGCCUCCUGAAGGUAUGGAAUAACAAUAGGUAGGGCCUCCUAAAUGUAUGGAAUAACAAUAGGCAAAGCUGGUGCCUGAGAUGGUCCUGCUGAGCAUCCUCAACUGGGGCCUGAUCGUGAACUGGGGCGGCUGGUGGAUCUGCAGGUGUUGCCCCACCUGCUGUGCGGGCUAUAGCCCUGCCCCUACCACAGCCUCGACCGCGACCUCGACCUCUAGUGUCCCCAAUUGAGGGUACUGGUGGUCGUCCGUCUAGUAUGGUAGUACAUGUCCUCACCAUCUGUGAGAGAAUAGAAUAAUAGAAGUUUAGUUACCAGAAUCAACAGAUUCGCACAACAAAAAUUCAAAAAUGUAAAGUUUUUCCUAAAGGUUCUGCAACAUUUCGAAGAUAAGUGCAGACGUCUCUGUACCGAUCAGCAAGACUCUACUAAAUCUGCUCAUGACUGGUGAGACCUAUGUAACCUAGGUUCUGAUACAACUUGUCACGACCCAAACCACCUCGGCCAUGAUGGCACUUAUCGCAGUACUAGGCUAGCCGAUUUGAAAUUUAUAACACAAAAAGGGUCUUUUUCUAAAUUCAUUUACUAAUAAGAUAUUAUGACAAAUCUUCCUUUUAAACAUUUCAAAACAAGCGGUAACAAAUUUACAAAAUAUCAACCAUUGUCCGAUCCCGGUGUCACUAAUCAUGAGCCACUAAAAUACAAUCUGGUACUGUCUACUCAAUACAAGAUGAGUCUGAUAAAAACAAAUACUAAUAGAUAGGAAGGAGAAGGCAAGGCUGUGGAUGCCGUGCAGCUACCUUGCUAAUUCCGGAAAUGCUCUGAAGGAAGGAAUAACUCUCGCUCAGAUGCCCUGACACCUGGAUCUGCACACAAGGUGCAGGGAGUAAUGUGAGUACUCCAACUCAGUAAGUAACAAUUAUAAAUAAAGGUUGAUUGCAGCGACGAGCAUUUAAAAAUCAUAUGCAUUUCAUAACAUAAAACCUCAGUGGAAAUAACAAGAUCAAUCAGUAUUUAAAUUACGAACAUUUCGUAAAAAAGUUGUUUAAAAUAUUUGUUCAGCAUUUAAAGGCUUAGUAUGAAAGAAGAGUGAAAACAAUAAUUUCAUAAAACAAGCCCUUUGAGCAAAGUAUCACUCAUAUAUAUAGCCCCUCGGGCAAGCCUCUCAGUCACACGUGACUCAACUUCCCACAAUCAGCACUCACACUUAGCACUUGCUCAAUAGGUACCUUAUAAUAACUGUUGCGGCGUGCAGCCCGAUCUAUAAAUAUAUAGUCGACUGUGCUCACUAGGGGUGUGCAGACUCCGGAGGGUCUCCUACAGCCCAAGCGCUAUAUCGCUGCGGCGUGCAUCCCGAUCCAACAUAUCGUUGCGGCGUGCAGCCUGAUCCCUAACUAUCCUCACAAUCCGGCCCUAGGCCUCACUCACUCAUCAACCUUACAAGCCACUCGGGCAUUUCAGUACAAACUCAGGGAACUCAGCCCAAAACACUUUCAUAUAUUAAAAUAGAGUGAUGAACAUGAUUAAAUAAACAGGUGUAAACCAAGACUGAGGAUAAUUCUUUCUAUCAAAAAAAUGUUAGGAUAAUAGUAAAAUAUCCUUGAGGGUCUAAACAGUACGACACAAGGCCCUAAACAUGGCAUUCAACCCAAGUUAACAGAAUCAUCUCUAAAACACAUAGAUAUAAUAUAGAGUUUAUCAAAAUAUGCAAUUCUACAGUUUCCACGGGACGGACCAAGUCACAAUCACUAUGGGUGCACGCCCACACGCCCAUCACCUAGCAUUUGUGUCACCUCAUUUAUCAAAAUAGUACGAAAUUUCGGGGUUUCAUACACUUAGGUCUAGAUUUACAAUCGUUACUUACCUCAAACCGGUCGAAAAUCUACUCCGCAUGCCCUUGCCUUUCGACUCGGCCUCCGAAUGCUCCAAAUCUAACCAAAAUCAGUAUCACAUCGUUAAUACACGGUAAAGGAACAAAGGCCAUACAAAAAUUAUCAAACUAACUAAAAAAUCCUGAAAUUGGCCAAACCCGACCCCCAGCCCCAUGUCUCGAAAUCCGAUAAAAAUCACAACACUAAAAACUUCUUUCACUCCUGAAUCUAUACAUACCAAAAUCAUCAAAUCGGACCUCAAAUGGCACCUCAAAUUCCCAAUUGAAACUAUCCAAUUUCAAGCCCUAAUCUUUCAAUUUCUUCUCAAAUUUUUCCCAUUAAUAUCAUGAUUAAACAAUGGAAUAAUCACCAUAAAUAUAAGAUACAAGGCCCAAGUAGCUUACCUCUCUGAAAAUACUUGAUUUCCUUUUGACAUCACAACCCCAAGCUCCAACUCGUCCAAAAAUGGUAAAGAAAUAGGGAGAAAUUCGCGAAGAGAGUCUUUUAUACUUUCUGCCCAGCUAUUUCCGCAUCUGCGGACAAUAUCUCGCACCUGCGGGCCGCUUCUACGCCCAAAAAUCCGCACCUGUGAAAAUCACUUAAGUCCUCAGACGCCGCACAUGCGCCCCAGGACUCGCACCUGGGGGCUCGCAGAUGAGGUCUAGCCCUCCGCUCCUACGACCAAUGUUGCUUCUGCGGCUCGCACCUACAGUCCCAAUCCGCAAGUGCGGUUAUGACAGAAAACAACAGCUUCAGCUGCAACUCCAAUUUCUCCAUCUCUCCGAUAACCCUUCGAAAUUAUCCCGAGGCCCUCGGGACCUCAACCAAACCUACCAACAAGUCACCUACCACCAUUCAAACUUAUUCCAACCUUCGGAACCCUCGAUUCAUACUUAAGGAUUUCUAAACUUCCGAAUUUCGCAAUGAUGCGAAAACCUAUCAAACCUCAUCCGAAUGACCUGAAAUUUUGCACACACAUAACAAAUGACACAAUGAACCUACUCCAAUUUCCGAAAUUCUAUUCCGACCUCGAUAUCAUGAUUUCCACUGUUGGAUGGAAAACUCCAAGCUUUCAGUUUCGCCAAUUCAAACCUAAUUCUGUCAUGGACCUCUAAAUUACAUUCCGAACAUGCUCCUAAGUCCAAAAUCACCUAACGAAACUCUCCGAACCAUCAGAAUUCACAUCCGAGACCUUCUACUCAUAAGUCAACAUCUGAUUGACUUUUCCAACUUAAGCUUCUAUAUAAGAGACUAAGUGUCUCAUUCCACUCCUCGACCACUCCGAACCCGAACCAACCAAUACGAUACGACGAAAUAUAGGUAAACAAUACAUAAAGAAGCAGAAAUGGGGAAAAUGGGGUUGUAACUCAAGAAACGACCGGCCGGAUCAUUACAAACACGUGUCAAGAAUGACCAAUCAGCAGUGAUUCAAUAAUGUUCACACCGGAUACAACUCUGUGGUCGGAUAAGAUGUUGAUACCGACUAUAAUGUAUGGCUGGAUGAGAAGCAAUUCAAUAUAUGGUCGUUACAAAAAUACUACAUGAGACUUCAAGAUUCUUCUGUUCUUUAUUAGCCUCUGUUAGGCUUUAUUACCCUUUAUUAUUCUUUUGCACUUUUUAUUACCUUUUAUUGUAGCAUUAGUAUCGGUGAUUAACGAGGCAUUCUAAAGCAACUCAAGCUUGUUUCUUCUUCGAUUAUCUUUACUAUGUUUGGACUCUGUUAUUUUACUUUAUUAAAUCAAUUCAAUCCUCAUAUUUAUAACCAUAUUACAUAUAUCAUUUUUCUGGUAAAUAAUCGCGAAAUGCUUCGUGCAAUGACUGACUCCUUUUUUAGUUAUAAUGAAAGAUUAGAAGCCGACAAACCUGAUGCUUACGAUGAUUAAACAAAACAGAACUAAUAGCUCAGGUUAAGUAUUUCAUGUCAAGAGAAUUGUCUUGCGAUUGCCAGAUUUUUCUCACCUCAUGUCCACAAAGACAUACAACAACAUACAAUAACAUCAACCCAGUAAUUAUCUUAUUAAUGGGGUCUGGGAAAGGUAGAGUAUAAGCAGACCUUACCCUUACCCCGAAAGGGUAGAGAGACUAUUUUCGCAAGACCCUCGGCUCAAAGACAAAAGAUCUGUAACAACAACAGAAACCAGAUAAAUAAUAUCAGCACCGUAAGAGACAACAAAUAAGUGGAAGGACAAUAAUUAUGAUAAUAAUAAAAAUCGAAAAUAAAAAUAAAAAUAGUAUGAUGAACAAAAAUCGCUAGCAGUCCUAGACAAAACACUAUCAGACUAGCCGGAACAAAUGAGGAAAAAUGCUCAACUACCCUCUAACCUACAACCCUAAUACUCGACCUCCACACCUCCCUAUCCAGAGCUAUGUCCUCAGAAAUCUGAACUUCCGCCAUGUCCUACCUGAUCACCUCGCCCCAAUACCUCUUAGGUCGCGCUCUCUACCUCUUCUUAUACUUGUCAAAGCAAACCGUUUACACCUCCUAACCGGGACAUCUAGGCUCAUCCACCGCACAUGCCCAAACCAUCUAAGUGUUGCUUCCCGCAUCCUGUCGUCCAUGGGAGCCACACCCACUCUCUCCCGAAUAUCUUCAUUCCUAAUUUAUCCAGCCUAGUAUGUCCGCACAUCCAUCUCAUAACAUCCUUAUUUCGGCUACUUUCAUCUUCUGAAUAUGAAAAUUUAACUGAUCGGUAUAAUUUAACUGAUUAUAACAUAUUAUUUAUUAUUUUAUCAGGUUUAUAAAUUAACGUAUAUUAUAAAAAUUUACUUGUAAUUAUCUCGUAAAUGAUCAAAUUGUAUAAUUUCUUUUACACCUUUGCCUAGGACAAAGAAGAAUGCACCAUAAUUGAAAAGGAUAUAAUGAUGUGUCCAAAAAAGAAAAAUAAUAAGAAACAAAUCAAAAGCAAAAAAGAAGAAACACACGUCACGCAAGUUUGUCGCAGCAAACAAACGAAACAAAGAGGAAAAAAACGACUUUGACAGGACUGAAAACCUUAGGGAUGGGUCCCACAUCCUUAAAUAUAUUUUUUACUAAUGUACUGUAUUUAGGUUAAAAAAAAUUACAAAAAAUUGGAGGAAAAAUAUAGGUCUGAUUCAAUAUUAAAAGCAGGAGCUUAAUGUAACAGACUACUAGCGAUUGAACUCGAAAGACAUGUAAAAAUAAAAAUAAAAAUAAAAAUAAAAAUAAAAAUACUCGAAAGACAUGUUUGCUAUGAAGUUCGCUUAAGGCAAAUUCCAUAUCAGAAUGAAGCGCGACAAAAGUAAAAAGAUAAGUCAGAAUUUAACUAUCAAGAUGUCUUUAAAUUGAAGUUCAAAUGGACAAAAUCAUGAGAUCUUAAAAUGUUCGAUCAAAGAAACAAUAUCUUGAUAGUUGAAUCUGAGUGGCUACACUGAAUUUUGAAAAAUAUAACAUAUAGUAAUACACAAUAGCUAGCCAACUUACUGAUAUUAAUUGUUAGUCUUCUACAAAUAAACACUUUAAUUGUGCUAAUAGUGUAACUCAAGUGACUAGCUCAUGAUAAAUAAGAUACGGCUUUUUUCACUUUUAGUCGUGCCAGCAAUUAUUUAUAUUAAUUGGGCGAAUUAAUGUAUAAUUUUUGUAUAUAACAUACAUAAUGUUUAUAUAUACAAAAAAAUAUUUUUCGGCUAUUAUUUUAAAAGCGGCUAUACAAUAUCAUUUUUCCAAAUAAAGAUAUCAAUUUUCUACUAUAUAAAUAGUACAAUUCCAGUACAAGGUCAUGAGGUGGAAAAUCAAAAAAAGAAAUAACUUACUAUAGACUAUAGAGAGGUGGACAAAAAGUCAUGUGAGUAUGUUUGUUUCAACAAUACUAACAUAUUAAUAGCGUAGAUAUUCGAUACUUUUUCUAAGACAUUAAAAUUGAUUAAUAAGAGAUUCAUGAUUGUAACAUCCUAACAAAUAUAUCUAAUAAUUUUUUGAAGGGUUUUUAUUCUUUAUUAUCCAAGUAAUUGGUAAUAAUAAUAAAAAAAAAAACUUAAAUCUUAAAGUUGUAUACUAUCAUAUUACUAACUCUUGAACUAUUAUAUAAAUAUUAUUGUUAUUGUUUUUAAUCUAUUUUCUGGUAUUUAUGUUGUUAUUAUUUUUAUAGUUUCUGUUAAUGGUUCUGAUUUUUUUUUUUUGGCAAUCCGCUAGGCAAGCGCCUAGGGUUAGUUUUUUAUUAAUAAAAGAAAAAAAAAUACAACAAUUAGAAAAGGUACAAAUAAUGGGGACAAUAGCACCGAUAUUGUUACACAUAUGCCUUGGCUAUAUAAUCACUCCUCUACGCCUCACAUUGCUUUAUGAUGGCAGCCUCAUGUAGAGGAUUCAUGGUCUAGCUGCCGGCAAAGUCUCAAGAGGGCAUAUAAUCUCAUAGCCGUGUGGAUAAUGGUUCUGAUAUAUUGUCUUUUUCGUCUCCUUGAAUUGAGGGUAUAUCGGAAAUAGUCUCUCUACCCUCGAAAUAAUAUUUGCGUACACUCUAUCCUCCCCGGACCCCACUUGUAAAAUUUUACCGAAUUACUAUUGUUACUGUUUGUUGUUGAACUGUUGUAUAAAUAUAUCACACUUGCAAAGUGUCAAUUUCUCGAGUUUAUCGUUUUUGUGACUUAUUACAAAUGUUCCCAAAAAGCCUUGAUGUCAAGACAUAGGAGAUUGAUCAUAUAAAACACAAUUUUUUUUUCUUCUAUUCAAAUUGCAACUGAUUAUUCGAUAUGGGUAUUAUUAAUAUGUUAGAAAUUUUAAAAAAUAUAUUAGCAUUAUUUACUUUCCUUUACAAAAUAACUUUAUCAAAGGAUUGUUAGUAAUUUCAAAUAUUUUUUUUUAUAAAUUUAAUCAUUCAAUAUACAAAAUUNNNNNNNNNNNNNNNNNNNNNNNNNNNNNNNNNNNNNNNNNNNNNNNNNNNNNNNNNNNNNNNNNNNNNNNNNNNNNNNNNNNNNNNNNNNNNNNNNNNNNNNNNNNNNNNNNNNNNNNNNNNNNNNNNNNNNNNNNNNNNNNNNNNNNNNNNNNNNNNNNNNNNNNNNNNNNNNNNNNNNNNNNNNNNNNNNNNNNNNNNNNNNNNNNNNNNNNNNNNNNNNNNNNNNNNNNNNNNNNNNNNNNNNNNNNNNNNNNNNNNNNNNNNNNNNNNNNNNNNNNNNNNNNNNNNNNNNNNNNNNNNNNNNNNNNNNNNNNNNNNNNNNNNNNNNNNNNNNNNNNNNNNNNNNNNNNNNNNNNNNNNNNNNNNNNNNNNNNNNNNNNNNNNNNNNNNNNNNNNNNNNNNNNNNNNNNNNNNNNNNNNNNNNNNNNNNNNNNNNNNNNNNNNNNNNNNNNNNNNNNNNNNNNNNNNNNNNNNNNNNNNNNNNNNNNNNNNNNNNNNNNNNNNNNNNNNNNNNNNNNNNNNNNNNNNNNNNNNNNNNNNNNNNNNNNNNNNNNNNNNNNNNNNNNNNNNNNNNNNNNNNNNNNNNNNNNNNNNNNNNNNNNNNNNNNNNNNNNNNNNNNNNNNNNNNNNNNNNNNNNNNNNNNNNNNNNNNNNNNNNNNNNNNNNNNNNNNNNNNNNNNNNNNNNNNNNNNNNNNNNNNNNNNNNNNNNNNNNNNNNNNNNNNNNNNNNNNNNNNNNNNNNNNNNNNNNNNNNNNNNNNNNNNNNNNNNNNNNNNNNNNNNNNNNNNNNNNNNNNNNNNNNNNNNNNNNNNNNNNNNNNNNNNNNNNNNNNNNNNNNNNNNNNNNNNNNNNNNNNNNNNNNNNNNNNNNNNNNNNNNNNNNNNNNNNNNNNNNNNNNNNNNNNNNNNNNNNNNNNNNNGGGUCCCUCUAUUUGUAUAUGAAAUUAUGAAUCGGCCAAAAAUAGUAAAAAUAAUGUUAUCAGUAAUUCUUUCUAUUUUUUUUUAUACCUUUACAGAGUAACAUGUAUAUAUAGUAUACAGCUAAGCUUCUUAUCGGAAAGAAUCUUGACUAGUCUCAUAUUUUUUUAAAAAUAUAUUUUUAAUAAUAUUUUAAUCUUUCAUAUAAUUAAGGUGUAUGUAAAUUGAUAAGUCAUAUAAUAAUGGCUUCAAGCAAUCUAAAUCAACAAAAGUCUUAAAGCAACUUUAGUUUAUAGGAUAAGUAUUACUACUAAUUAAUACAUUCUUGACUAUGGUUUGUGCACUCUAAUUCAAGAUGUAUAUUCUGAUGACGAUUCUUGUUUUUUUUUUUCCCCAAUGCUAUAGUCCAAAAUUUCGUGUUUAUUUAAUAAUAAGGUGUCGUUUGGUAUGCGGACUAAAUUAUCCCGACUUAUUUAUACCACAUGAAAGAUGAAAUAAAAUAAUCCCACAUUUAAUAGAAUACGGUAAGAUAAGAUGAGAUAUUCUUGAUUAAGUCUGGGAUUAGAUUUAUACCUUGUUUGGUCAGAGGUAUAAAUUUAUUCCGAAAUAAAAUUAUACCGCCAACAAAACACAAUACAAAAUUUAAUCCCACCUUAUCCUCGUACCAAACAACCCCUAAGAACUAUAUAAUAGUAGUAUUUUAGUGAUAGAAAUGUAGCACUUAAUAAUUGAAACAAGUGAAAAAAAAUAUUUUUUUUCUUCUUUAUUACUCCAUAUGUUUCAAUUUAAAUGACAUAUUUCGCUUAUCGAAAGUCAAUUUGACUAAACUUUGAACGUUAAAUUGGUUUCGUUCAAGUCAAUAUUUUAAAAUUAAAAUUAAAAUAAUCAUAAAUUAUACGAAAAUAUUAUAAAUUAUAAAAUAAUAUAUUUUAAAUUAUUGGUCAAACUUUACAUAAUUUAACUCCGGAUAAAAUUGAAAACAGAAGAAGUAGAAACUAUAGCUUAAGACAUUAUAAAAUAAAAUUUAAAACAUUUACCUAUAUGUAUUCUCUUCGCACUGAUUUCGACAUCAAUCAUAUUAAGGACAAUAUCAAAUAGUACAGCCUACUUUUUCUAUUCAGAAAUAUGACAGCAUGUCUAACAUCAUUCAGGUAACAGCAUUGUUGUACAAUUUAUACUAACAAAAUAAAGUUUAAACUUUUAAGAAUUUCACUUUUAGUGAACACUUACUAAUUGGAUUAGUGUGACGCCCAUGACGAAAGGCGGGUCGAUGAGGAGUGAUCAAAGAAGAGUUGCAUAUGACAUCUUAGACGAAUUUACUUAUAAGCAUAAUACAAGUUUACAAGAGACGCACUUUCAGACUCGAUGGUGACGUAGCCCAAGGGAGAAAUUUGUGAGGAAUGUUACAACUUCUUUGCUUACUAUACUAAUUUCCUCUUAAAAUUUGUGAGUUCUCUUACAAAUAUUUCUUCCAUUUGUAUGAGCAAGUGCUUAUUACUUAAUCACAAUCUUUGCUAAAGUUAUGAUCUAUGUUCCUCGGAUUUCUUGAAAAUAUUAUCGGGCAGGGGCGAAGCUACUUAGCUCCUAUUUUCAUCGAAAAAUUACACGGUAUAUAUAGGUAAAAUAUUAGAUUUUAGUCGUAUAUAACAUAUAUUGAACACUCUUUAUUCGAGAUUUAUUAUACUUCUUUUAAAUUUAAGCACCCUAAAUGAAAUUCCUGGCUUCGCCACUGUUGUCGGGUGUAUAUCGGAUUCUCCAAAAGUAGUACAUUUUUUAAAAAUCUGACUAUAGUGCAACAACAUUUUCGAUAAGGAGAGCCUUGUUGUAACUAGUAAAGUUGUUGUCAUGUGAUUAGGAGGUUAUGAGUUCGAGCCGUGGGAACAACCUCUUGCAAAAAUACAAGGUAAAACUGCGAAUAAUAGGCCCUUGUGGUUCAGCCUUUCUCCGAACUUCACGCAUAACGAGAACUUAGUGAAAAGUAGGCCCGAGCAGAAAUAGAGUGGCGAAUGACACAAAUCCAGCGUGGCAAAAUCAGAGAGGGGAAUGCAAGUGGGACCCAGAAAGCACGAGGUGUAGUACCUGGAAAGCAUCUCAAGGCAUAGGUAUGGGCCCACAAGGCCGUAAUAAACAUAUUAAAGUAGGGCCCAUUUAGAGAAAGCCCAAAAGUAUGUGGGAUGAAUUGGAUUGAAAAAGAAUGUGCCACGUCAUAUUUCUGCUGUGGUAUGGGACCCAUUUGGACAUUUUAUGAUCGUAUUUUAUGAUAGUGGGGUCCAAUUCGGCACCGGCCCUUCACUAUUAUUUUGGCCUUUACGUUCAUUAUUCAUAUCCAUUUGUCCACAAAUCAGAAAGAAAAUCAAGUUGGCUAUUUUUUCAAAUUCCUAAACAUUCUCAUUUUGACCAUUCUCGUAAAAAACAUUUUACUCCAUACUAUUAGCUAAGGGAAAUAUCUGGUGAAAAUCUUAUACUAUGAUUCACCAUAUAUUUUACUGUUAAUAAAAACUGUGCCAUGCCGACAGAAAAAAACAUAAUUUGAAUACAGUGUCCGAUGGCGGAUCCCGGAUUUUAAAGUCGUGAAUGCUCAUCGAUAAAAACUUCGAAUGAGAAAAAACGAGUUUAGCUAUGAGUGCUCACUCAAUAUUUAUCUAAAUAUUUUUAUAAUUGAUACGCAGAUUUACUAAGUCUUGUCAAAGGUAAUGGGUAUUUGAGCACCCACAAAUAACCAUGUAGAUCUGCCACAGACAGUGUCACGAGUCAAUAUUUGAAAUUUAUGAGUUCUGAACUUGUCAUCGAACUCACAACUCGUCUUACUGAGUUUGCAUUCAAAUAUUUAUAUAUAUUUAAUAAAUAUUACUAGGUUCGUUCGAACCCGUAUCUAAUACUCUAGGUCUACUCCUCGUUUCAGUUACUUAAUAUUGAUAGUUUCAAGUUAUGUGACAUAGUUGGACUCGUUACAAUGUUUAAGAAAAAAAAAGUACUUUGAAACUUGUGUUUUGAACAUGUUAUAAUAUUUGUGUGACGAUAGAACCUUCUAAUUAAAGGUAAAUAAAAAAUAUAAAGUUAAAUUUAUUUUUAUAUAGGAAAAUAUAUUUUUCGAACGGACUAAUAAAAAAAAUAAUAUGACAUAAAAUGAAAUAGAGGGCGUAAAUAUUAUCGAGUUGAGUAUUUCUUAUUCUCGUAUAGUCGUGUUAACGUAAGAAACUAAAAGCUUAUUUGCAAUAGUAUUUGCAAUUUAACUGCUAAUCUAUUAGUUUAAGCUUUUCAUUUUUUUUCAUAAAUGUUUAAUUUAGUAAUUAGUGAUGUGUUUACUCUGUCACUACUUUGACAAAAUCUUGGUGGUAAUUUGUCUGAUAAAGUAAUGUAGUAUCAAUAGUUUACAGGAUCCAAUAAAUACAUAUAUUAAAAUUAUUAUAAGGCUGAGUCAUUUUGUAUGAGUAUUUGCAUGAAUUAGCAAUUAGAUUAAUUCCCUUAAAACAAGAGAUUUUGUUGUAAAGAUCUAGAAUUAAGAAAAAAUUAAUUAAAAAAGAAAUUGGAACAGAAAAAGAAAAGUAUAUUUAAAAAAUUAUUAGAACAUGAAAGCAUGAUAGUCUUAGUCACCUACGUGCCCUACUGCACAAAACACAGAAGAAACCACUCAAGAAAAAAGAUAUCAUAGCUGUUUAUAGGAAAUGGCCUCCACCACCAUGUGACUUUGCCAUUUCCUAAUCAAACAAAUGCCUUUAGACAAACUAAUAAAUGAAUUAAUAAAUAAUAAAUGAAUUAAUAAAUAAUCUUGCGCUCAGGUUACCAUCAGUUAAAGAUUUGGGAGCCAAAUAUCCUGAAAACGGCUUUCGGGACUCGUUAUAGUCAUUACGAGUUCCUUGUUAUGUCUUUUGGGUUGACCAAUGCCCCAGCAGCCUUUAUGCAUUUGAUGCACAGUGUAUUUAAUUUGAAGAUUUGAGAGUCGAGUUGAUGUCAGAUUUUGGUAAAAUUAGUAUGGUGGGACUCGUAGUUGGAUGAGGGUUCAUAUUUCAUGACUUUUGUUGGGUUCCGAGAUGUGGGCUGACAACCAGCAUAAAACCCGUCAAUUCAUAAUGAAGCUAACCUCAACUUAUUUGAGGUUGAGUCGUAAUUAUUAUUAUUAUAUGAACUUAUUUAUAUUGUGUUCCAAACUGAAUUACGGUAGGUCGACAAUCAACAUGAAAUUAAUUAAUUUAUAAUGAAUCUUUAUAAUAUAGAAUAUAUUUGAGAUAUAUAUGAGAUGAAUAAUGAGAAUUUAUACAACCGAUGUCAACUUGCUUGGGUUGAAACAUAGUUAUUACUCCCUCCGUUCACUUUUACUUGGCAUGUAUACUUAAAAUAGAUUUUCAUUUUUACUUGUCGUUUUACGUAUAUCCAGAGAAGACAAUUUUUUCCCCUGUUAUAACCACAUUAUUUAUUACUCAUUUUAAUUCAUUUUCUCAAAUCCAAUAAAAUAUGCAUCAAUUAAUAUGUGUAUCAUGGUAAAUUAUGCACUUCAUUUAUUAUUUCUUAAGGGGCGUGAAAAAUCAAAAUGUGCCAAGUAAAAGUGAACAAUUAUUUUAAUAUUAAUUUUUUUGGUAAGCAUAAAGUAAAGUAAAUACAUUUACAACUAGACAUUUUAAUUUUUGGACACCCUUUAAAGUCAGUGAUAUGAGAUGUCAAUUUGUAUAUCCUUCAAGAUUCUUUUCUUUUUAUUAUUUUAAUUAAUACAGUCGAUUUUACUUCCCUAUAUAUAGCUCUCUCAUUUGAUCCUUUUUCAUCACCAAUCACAAUUAAAAACACUUUGGCCACCUUUGCUUCUUAAGACCCCCUCCAUUUCAUUAUUUUUUCCUCCCCAUUUUCUUAGUUUCAACUUUAAUUCUUCAAUUUCCAAUGGCCAGCGUUGAGGUACUUUUAUACCAAUGUUUUUUUUUUUUUGGCAAUUUUUUUCAUCUUUUCUUUCUAAAUGAAAACUUAAAAUUGAUCAAGAUCAGUUAGCUAACCUCUUCUUCAACUGAUCAGUGCUCUUUUUAAACUUUUCAAGAUUUAUAUUUUACACAAUCUGAUGAAGUGAAUAAAAUCUAAUGGUUGAUCAAUAUUCUUUAUAUCUUGAAAAUAUUAUUAGAUCAUUCUUGGAUAAAGGUUUUAUAAUGAAAUAUCUUGAGAAGGUCAAUGAUCACAGCUUUUAUAUGACCAUAGUUUGAUAUCAAGAAUUCAAAACAACAUUAUUACAACCACGCGUCAACCCCAAGCAAGUUAGGAUCACCUAUCUGAAUCUUCACUGACUAUAUCACUUCAUUUAAGUUCUCUAUAUUUUCUACUGUCAUAUAAAUCGGUGAUCGACCAUAAAGAUUCCUAGUAUAUUUAGGAACUAAAGUAAAACAUACUAACAUGACGAUAACAUAUUCCCAACUAAUUGUUAUCGCCUAUAUAGACCUUUUCUCAUGAGUUGAAAUUUCAAAUUUUGUUUGAAGGUUGAAUCUGCACCAGUAGCAGCAGUAGAGACUACUCCAGCUGAGGUUGAGGUUCAAACAACCCCAGAGGAAACCAAAGUAGAGGAACCAACCCCAGUUGUAGAAAGCGAAUCCGUCGUCGAAUCAGCACCAGCACCAGCACCAGUAGAAGAGCCUGCUCCCGCUGAGGAAGCAGCCCCUGCUGCCGAAGAACCCGUGGCUGCAGCAGAACCUGCAGCCACAGAAACAGAGGAGCCAGUUGCGGCAACUGAGGAACCAGUUGCGGCCCCAGUCGCGGAGGCUGAACUUGAAGCAGCCCCUGUUGAGGAACCAGAAACAGAGAAAGCUGUCCCUGUAGCAGAGGAAUCAGCUCCAGUAACUGAAGAAGCAGUGGCUGAAGAAACUACAAAUGCAGCAGCUGAGGAACCAGUAGCAGCAGCAGAAUCUGUUGAAGAGAAAGCAGUUCCAGUGGAGAAAGCUGAAGAGUAAAUUCUACUGGAAACUGUCUAAGGAAUUUUAGUGAAGAUGGGGUUGAUGAAUGAUGGGGGUCUUAUUAAAGCUGGUUGUGUUUAUUCUGUUUCUUAGUAUUUUAUUUACUACUAUUAUUACUACUAUAUUAUUAUGGUUACAGUGAGGGCAUGUGUUAUUUUUAGCAUAUGCCUAGGUCUAGGUGGUCGGGUGGAUACUCCAUAGUUUUUU